rnacentral:piRNA from 1 species
UGGAGUUCUGCCUAAAGUAAAAGGAUUGAU